CCAACAGCCCUUUUAAGGGCUACAAAUUAAUUGAAUGACACUAUAG
rfam:Xiphophorus maculatus strain JP 163 A Contig15014.1, whole genome shotgun sequence.